rnacentral:rRNA from 1 species
GAUGAACGCUAGCGGCAGGCCUAAUACAUGCAAGUCGGACGGGAUUCAGGAGCUUGCUUCUGAUGAGAGUGGCGCACGGGUGCGUAACACGUAUGUAACCUACCUUUAUCAGGGGGAUAGCCUCUCGAAAGAGAGAUUAAGCCCGCAUAAAAUCACAGCACAGCAUUGUGUAAUGAUCAAAUAUUUAUAGGAUAAAGAUGGGCAUGCGGAACAUUAGCUAGAUGGCGGGGUAACGGCCCACCAUGGCGACGAUGUUUAGGGGAUCUGAGAGGAUGGCCCCCCACACUGGUACUGAGACACGGACCAGACUCCUACGGGAGGCAGCAGUAAGGAAUAUUGGUCAAUGGGCGGAAGCCUGAACCAGCCAUGCCGCGUGCAGGAAGACGGCCCUACGGGUUGUAAACUGCUUUUAUACGGGAAUAAACCCAGAUACGUGUAUCUGGCUGAAUGUACAGUAAGAAUAAGGAUCGGCUAACUCCGUG